GACGAACGCUGGCGGCGUGCCUAAUACAUGCAAGUCGAGCGGACGGAUGGGAGCUUGCUCCCAGACCGUCAGCGGCGGACGGGUGAGUAACACGUGGGCAACCUGCCUGUAAGACUGGGAUAACUCCGGGAAACCGGGGCUAAUACCGGAUAACUCUUUCCCUCACAUGAGGGAAAGCUGAAAGAUGGCAUCUCGCUAUCACUUACAGAUGGGCCCGCGGCGCAUUAGCUAGUUGGUGAGGUAACGGCUCACCAAGGCGACGAUGCGUAGCCGACCUGGGAGGGUGAUAGGCCACACUGGGACUGAGACACGGCCCAGACUCCUACGGGAGGCAGCAGUAGGGAAUCUUCCGCAAUGGACGAAAGUCUGACGGAGCAACGCCGCGUGAGUGAUGAAGGUUUUCGGAUCGUAAAACUCUGUUGUCAGGGAAGAACAAGUACCGGAGUAACUGCCGGUACCUUGACGGUACCUGACCAGAAAGCCACGGCUAACUACGUG
rnacentral:rRNA from 1 species